rnacentral:rRNA from 1 species
GAUGAACGCUGGCGGCGUGCCUAAUACAUGCAAGUCGAGCGCACAGACUCGGCUCUUGCUCCUCUGACGUUAGCCGCGGACGGGUGUGUAACACGUGGAUAACCUCCCUUUCAUACUGGUAUAACUUCGGGACACCUGCUCUUAUACCGUAUACUCUGUUUAACCGCUUGGUUCAAUAGUGAAAGACGUUUUUGCUGUCACUUAUAGUUGGAUCCGCGCCGCUUUAGGUAGUUGGUAUGGUCACGGGUUACCAUGGCAACGAUGCGUAGCCGACCUGAGAGGGUGAGCGGGCACACUGGAACUGAGACACGGUCCAAACGCCCACGGGAGGCAGCAGUAGGGAAUCGUGCGAAAUGGGCGAAAGCGUGAAAGAGCAACGCCGCGUGAGUGAUGAAGGGAUGCGGAUCGUAGAACUCUGUUAUUAGGGAAGAAAAAAUGUGUAAGUAACAAUGCACGUCGUGACGGUACCGAAUAAGAAAGCCACGGCUAACUACGUG